AGGAGGAACAGCCCCAGUGGCGGAGGCCAGCUCUGGAGCCCUAGAGUCAGCUCCCGCAGGAACUCAGGAGCUCUCCGUCUGCAGGGCCUGGUGGCUCCAGGGCGGG
rnacentral:pre_miRNA from 1 species